CCCUUCCCAGGCGCCCCGCUCCAGCCACCAAGGCUCUGAUUGCAAAGUGGCCUCAACCCCUUUAAAAGUAAAACACGCCCCCCCACGAGUGUCGCCCUGCUUCCCUGAACACUAAGAGAUCCGGACACGUCCCCCAGGAGCCUGCAGCUCAGAAACAUUAGGAACUUCUGGAAGGAAUCGGGCCGUUCCCCAGCUGGCAGGCCGCGGUCUUUUCCUGGUACUGAUAUUUACUGGCUGCUCUUCGGGCUGGCGGGAGACCUCAGGGCGGUGGUUGGAGGUGCCCAUCAUCUCCUUCAUAGGAAGGAAACUGAGCUCAGAGAGGGU
rnacentral:lncRNA from 1 species